AAAGAAAAGAAAUAAAUAAAUAAAUAAAUAAAUAAAAGCGUGGGAUAAAAAAGGUUUGAAAGUUUGAAAAUAAUUAUUCGACAUGUAUACGAACUUUCAUCAAAAAUGGAAUGCGAUGAGGAUCCCACGUCGAUUGGAUUCACCAAAAAUGGCGAAGAUCGUAAAAGAAAAAUCACCAUCGCCAGAACGAACGGAAACAUCGUCGAUGAUUUAUCUGUUGAUGAAAUCAUCGAUGAACAAACAAAAGAUACAAAAGGAGGAAUCUCAUCGGGGUCAUUACAAAAUAUUUGGUGAUCUUCCAAAAUUAUCGUGCAUUAAACGAACCGAUUCUAAAGAUUAUAAAACGAAAGUUAAGCAGGAGAAUACGUUCGAGAUUUACGACGAUACUAUAAAGUCGAAUAAUAUCGAUGUUGAUACGUUCACUGAUUCGAAAAAUAAUGUAUUAUUGUCCAAAGAGAAUGUUGAUUGUUUUAUUAAGAAGGAGAUCAAAGUUGAGAAUGAUUUAUACGAGGAUGUUUUCGUUAAUGACAAUACUUCGAUCGAUGAUCCUUGUCGAUUAAUCAAAACGAAUAACGAUCAAAAAUGUUCGUCUAUGUUAUAUUCAUCGGUUGAUGAUUCCAAUGAUGAUGAUGAUGAUGAUGAUGAUGAUGAUAAUGAUGAUGAUGUUUUUACUAAAGAGAAAUCAGAAUCGAUGAUUGAUCCUCGUCGAUCAAUACGAACGAAUAAUCGAAAACGUUCGUAUAUUCCGUCUUCGUUGUCUGAGUCUCCUAUCGAAAAAAAAUGGCGACCAAAUACAAAGGAAGAUAUUAAAUCAAAAAUAAAGUCAUCUACCCCGAAGAGGAUCAAACAGUCUUCUAUGUCGGACAUGAAUGAGCUCAUGCGAAUUACUAAAGCUUUUCAAAAUCGAAGGGAGAAACGUGUACCUGUCAUUUAUGAUAGGGCUAGACCAGAUGUACCCUUUCCACCGUCGCACAAGCUGACAGUGGCUGAGGUCUUCGAUUCGGGAACGGAUCGGCCGAGACCGGAAGUUCUUAAGCAACACUUCACUCUCGAAGGUAGAAUCGACGAAGCUGCGGCCCUUCGUAUAGUCAAUGAUGGUGCCGCCAUUUUACGCUCGGAAAAGACAAUGAUCGAUAUCGAAGCACCUGUAACCGUAUGCGGAGACAUUCAUGGACAGUUCUACGACCUGAUGAAGUUAUUCGAGGUGGGUGGUCCACCCUCUUCGACAAAGUAUCUCUUCCUUGGUGACUACGUAGACAGGGGUUAUUUCAGUAUCGAGUGCGUGUUGUACCUGUGGGCACUGAAACUGUGCCAUCCCACCACACUCUUCCUUCUCAGAGGUAACCACGAGUGUCGUCAUCUCACGGAAUACUUCACAUUUAAACAAGAAUGUAAAAUAAAGUAUUCAGAAAGGGUAUACGAUGCGUGUAUGGAUGCGUUCGAUUGUUUACCAUUGGCAGCCCUCAUGAAUCAACAGUUUCUUUGUGUCCAUGGUGGUCUGUCGCCGGAAAUACACAAUUUGGACGACAUACGUAAGUUGGACAGGUUCAAAGAGCCACCAGCGUUCGGACCAAUGUGCGAUCUUCUAUGGUCGGAUCCAUUGGAAGAUUUUGGCAAUGAGAAGAAUGCCGAACAUUUUUCUCACAACAGCGUCAGAGGUUGUUCAUACUUUUACAGUUACGCCGCGUGUUGCGACUUCCUGCAGACCAAUAAUCUGCUCAGCAUCAUAAGAGCGCAUGAAGCACAGGACGCGGGAUAUCGUAUGUAUCGAAAAUCUCAAACGACGGGCUUCCCAUCGCUAAUAACCAUCUUUAGUGCGCCUAAUUAUCUCGACGUUUACAACAACAAGGCAGCCGUAUUGAAAUACGAAAAUAACGUAAUGAACAUCAGGCAAUUCAACUGUUCGCCUCAUCCAUAUUGGUUACCCAACUUUAUGGACGUUUUUACGUGGUCUUUACCGUUCGUUGGUGAAAAAGUCACAGAGAUGCUAGUGAACGUACUGAACAUAUGCUCGGACGAUGAAUUGAUGAGCGACGGCGAUGAAGGCCUCGAGGAAGUAUUCGCGUUUCGUAACGAGAUAAAAAUCUAUCAACUAUUUCUUUCUUUCUCUCUCUUUCUCUUCCUCUCUCUCUCUCUCUCUCUCUCUCUCUAUCUCUCUCUUUCUCUUUCACUAUCUUUCCAAUCUAUUUAUCUCUCUCUAUCUUUCUCUUUCUCUCUUUUUUAUCUCUGCCUCUGUCUCUCUUUUUUACUCCUUUUUUCUCUUUUAUUCACAAGAAAAAUUCUCAUAUAGGGAAAUCAAUGAUCUCGCGACAAUCAAUUAUUUUCGUUAUCGAUCUUUCACGGAACGAUCAAGGAAACGCAGAAACUACGAAAACGUCUCAUGAAUACCGAUAUUGAAGUCUAAACGCUAAUCGAUUAAAGAACUAAACGAAGUACAAAAAAAAAAGAAAAAUAAAACGAGGAAAAUGAAAUAAAAGCAAAGGAAAAAAAAUUUUUCUCA